rnacentral:lncRNA from 1 species
AAAGAGUUAGACAAAGCCCAUAGAAUUGCCAUCAGCAAACAUUUUCCUGUGUCAUAUUAGUGGGUCUCCAUGACUCCCCCUGGCCCAGGGACAAUAGCACAAGUUUGCACACUCGACUACUGUCACCCUGCCAACGCUGGCAAGGAGCAGAAACAGGACAAUCCUUUAAGGGGAAAGCAUGCCCACUGCAGGGAAGGUAAGAAGAGAGGGAAGAAAAGCAUGUGAAAUGCUAAUUGAGCUGCUUCCUUUAUUGAUUCAGAGUUAUGUGAGUCCUCAUCCUCCUUGCAGGAUUGUCCUUAGGGGUGGCAAUAACUUAAUAGCAUGCUAAACCUGGGAGUCCCACACUGUGUGCUCUCCCCACAGAGAUCUUUAAUAGCAGUGGGGGGAGAGUGAAGUUACCCUGAAUGAAUUUCAGAAAUGCUAGACAUUCAGGAAUAAAGCCAGCUUGCAAUGCGGUACGUCCACUCACAACUGAGACUGGAGCAGACAGGAGUCCAAGUGUUUUUCAGUCUUAGCACACUGCAGACUUCAUGUUAUAUAAAAUUCUGUAUGAACACUCAAAUACUAAUGCUGAUCAGGGCACUAGCUUGUCAACCAAUGUUUUAAAAAAACAACAAUAGCUCUAUAUGAUUGACUUGAAGUUGAAAUAUAAGAAGAGCUUUAGAAAUAAUAAGUUAAACUAACAUCCAGAUCCUAACCUUAUUUUUUCAGAAGCAAAUUUCAUUGAUAUAAAUGGAGCAUACUCCUAAUUAGCUUACUCCUAUUGAAGUGCAUAGGACUGUAGCGUUCUAUUUUGUGAACGUUCUAGAAAAUAUACCUAGAUUUUGGAUAAUUAAAAUUUAUCAUCUCCCUUUGAGUCUAAACUGUUUAUUUAUUUUGAUAUUUGUCCCCUUAGAGCACUGCAUAGCUGUGAAUUGGUUGGCAAUUUGUGUAGUUUGGGUUGGAGUUAAUUACCACAAAUUAAGGGUAAACUCACAUAACCUUUUUGGAAUGUCAAGAAGUAGGUUGUGCAAUUGCAUACCAACCCCAAACUGUUGGUGAAGCAUUUAAUAUUUUCUCUCACCAUGGAAAAAGAAAAGUUAACUUGAUUAAUUUCAAAUUAUGCCAAUUGUUAUUUUAAUGUUCUAAUUCUUUUUCCAGCAUUUAUUUCAACAGCAGUGACCCUUAGCUGGAAGAUGCAGUACAGACAAGAGGUUGCUAUUUUUGUGAACUUGCUUAGAGCAGUUCUCAACAGUGUCUGGAAGCUAGUCUACACCACCAGAUAGGCAAUAACCUUCUGCCUCCCAAUUUGAACAGCAAUAGACACACCAGCUGCUCAUUGCUUCUGACUUGGCUUAUGCAAGGGGCCGAACGUCUGAGAUGCCUAAUGACGGAAAUGCUGUGCCAAAGCCUCUUGCUGUUCACACUGAAGAAAAAAGUCAUUAAGUCCUAUCUUUGUGUUCACAAUGGCUAUACUCUGCCUCCUAUAGGGAGCAGGUGGCGCUGCGGUCUAAACCACUGAGCCUCUUGGACUUGCUGAUUGGAAGGUUGGCAGUUCGAACCUGCAUGAUGGGGUGAGCUCCCAUUGCUCUGUCCUAGCUCCUGCCAACCUAGCAGUUUGAAAGCACACCAGUGCAAGUAGAUAAAUAGGUACCGCUGUACCUAUUUAUCAUCACAGUGUACCUAUUUAUCAUCACAGUGUUCCGUUGUGCCAGAAGCAGUUUAGUCAUGCUGGCCACAUGACCCAGAAAGCUGUCUGUGGAAAAACGCCAGCUCCCUCAGCCUGAAGCGAGAUGCCCACCAAACCCCAUAGUCGCCUUUGACUGGACUUAACCGUCCAAGGGUCCUUUACCUUUUACUUUUUUUACCUUUGCCUCCACAGUCAGCGGCAAUUUGCUUCUGAAUAGCAAUUGCUGGAAAUCAGAGGAGGGACAUGCUAUGUACAUUGGAAGAGAGGUGGUAUAAAAUCUGUGGUCAGGCUAGAGUUGCAAAGAAUGUUACCUCAUUUUGACUUUCAGGUCAAACUUUUCAGUAGGCAGAAAUACGUCCUGCUAAAUUACCUUUUUGAAAUCCCGCUCUUUGCUAUCGCUUCCCCUGUUUGCUGCUUCUUUAGUGUCAUUUUUGCCCUGCUUCUGUGAUGUCUUUUUUCCGGAUUCAUACAUUCAUUACAUAUACUUCUCAAGCAAUCACUGAAAAAUCUGGAGCACCAUUCAGUUCUGCUGGGGGGGGGGGGCGACGAUGAAAAGCAGUGAAUGCUUUUGGCUGAAUGAGCUCCCAGAGUCAUUGCAAGAAAGUUUAAUGAGGUACAAGUUUUACAGAUCGCAGCAAACUUAUGCCAGAUCCUGAGUGAUUAUUAGUAGCAAUGUGUAUGGAAAAACACCAGUAGGGAUGCAAUCCCAUACUAUAUUCUUAACAUCACAUUCCCUUUUGCAUUAUUAUUUAGGACCUGAUGUAUUUAAUGUUUUAAGACCCCCAGCUAAAUACUCCAUGCUGCUGCAGAAAGUUGUUCUUGAUGUGCCGACAUUCCCUCCUUUAGAGACCCCGUUCCCUGCCGCUGGAUGACAAUAGGGCAAUGGAGUGAAGAGCACGGUUUUCUGAAUAAAGGAAACCCUUUCAAGGUCAGACUCAGGUUGAGCUGCACAGGGGUUUUCCAAAGAGGCCACCGGAACCCUUUUGUUCCUCUCUCCUUUAGCCAUGUACGUCCCAAUGUACAUCUGAAAGAAACAAUUAACAAUAGGGCACUCCUCUUGGAGUUUCUAAUGCACUUUGAAGUGCCCAUUGAGGAAAGGCAUAAGAAUGAUACAUCAUUUUAACUGUGAGACUGUCAAAGUUAUACAGCAGUUGGAAAAAAUGCCUCCACAUGCCUUCCCAGCAUGCAGACAGGGACCAGCUGUAGAGCCACUUCAUAUCUGACAUGUCACUCUGUUGACAGCUGGCUUCCUGAGUGUUCUGGUAUGCGGAGGUUUGAAAGGGGUGGGGAAUAUUUCACAAGAGCAAAUGCAUUUAAAAUGUGGCAAACCUCCCUAUCUUUCAAAACCUCUUUCUUUUUCUCAAAAGAGGAAAAGGUUGGGUUUGUGGUUUUUUUGUGUGUUUUUUUUUUAAAAACUACUUAAGAUGACGUCUUGAGUUUGGCCAUCUCCAAAUUAAAUACAGAAAACGUAUGUAUACAGACAGACAGACAGACAGACAGACAGAUGUAAGACUUAGUAAGAAGUCAUAGUUGUGUACUCUUUGCUAGAGAUGAGAAACUAUUCACCCCAUGUUCUCAGUUGGUGCAAGAGGGUCACCACAGAAUGUGGCCAGGUUUAUUCACUACCUUCCAGGUACCCCAGUGCACUCAGUGACUGCUAUUAACUUCUUUGAGGGAAAUAAUGCCUGUACUUGUGGACAAAAUUUCAGUGGGUAUAAAAUGGAUGACUCCACUAAUGGAGAACCACAUAGAGUCAUAAAAUGCCUCUGUUGGUAGAGUCAUAGGGGUGUAUUCCACCAUUUUGGGCAUCACAUGGCAGGACAGAGUCUCGAACAAAGAUGUACUCUCCCAAGCCCACAUUCCCACCAUGUUCACACUCCUGUCUCAGCAAUGUCUACAACUGGCUUGGUCGUGUCCACAGGACAUGCUCUAUGGGGAGCUGGCUUCAGGCACCAGGCCCAUUGGAAGAACAACUCUGCAUUACAAAGAUGUGUGCAAACAUGACAUGGAGGCUGGCAACACUAACCCCACCAUAUGGAAAUCCUUGCGGAUGAUCACAGUGCCUAGAGAUGGAGAAGCAAAAUCUGUUGGGAGUGUUAACUAAAUACAUGUAACUAAAACCAUGCAUCCUUUAAUCUCCACUGACCUUCAUUCUAAUGAAAUCAACCCCUGGCUAAGCACAGGAACAUCUUGACACUUGGAGAGUGGAGCAGUGCAUAAUAAUAAAGGUAAAGGGACCCCUGACUGUUAGGUCCAGUCGUGGACGACUCUGGGGUUGCGGCGCACAUCUCGCUUUAUUGGCCAAGAGAGCCGGUGUACGGCUUCUGGGUCAUGUGGCCAGCAUGACUAAGCCGCUUCUGGCAAACCAGAGCAGCACAUGGAAACGCUGUUUACCUUCCCACCGGAGCGGUACCUAUUUAUCUACUUGCACUUUGACGUGCUUUCGAACUGCAUAAUAAUGAAUACUAAUAAUAAAUGAAAUAACUAACAAUCUGCUGCCUUUUCAUGUCACCCAAGAUGCCUGGGAUGACUGCCUCAUUCUGUCUAGUGGUAGGGCUGGCCCAGACACCCAUUAUUUCCUUCAUCUGUACCCCAAAUCAAUCUGCAGGGGUGAAGUGGGGCAAACGCCUUUCCCAGUUUUCAUGGGGAUCUGUCCCCUGAUCACUGAACUACAUCACUUUCUUACUAGCCUCAUAUUAAUCAUGUGGCUCACAGUGGUAAAUUAUAUCAAAAAGAAACAGAAACUAAGCAUCAUAAGUUAAAAGAGGACAUCUCAAAGGAUGGUCAAGACUCUAAAGCCAUGUGGCAUGCAGUUUGGCUGCUGAAGCUUAGCAGGGUCAGGACCCUAUAAGCUGCCUGGAAGCUAUAUGUAAGCUUCUUUGAUACCCUCUUUUUUCUUCAAGGAUGGAUAAAUAAUAUUUAAUUUUUGGGGCUCGCAGAGACACAUUAUCAUAUCCUGCUUGAAAUUCAAACCAAGCUGAUUGGUACCAGCUAGCUAGCUGAGGUUUGAAGUUAGAGACCCGCACUGCAGAACAUUCCACUUUUGAGAGUUAAGAGCCCAGCUUGAGCAUCCUGUCUUCCUUUGUCCAGUUCUCAUGCACCAAUCCAAAAGUGCAGAAUCUUCUUCCUGUUCAGGAAAGGGUGCAGUUGACUCACCAGCUAAAGCAGAUGAUAAGCACCCUUCGCCACGGAGGUCACCUGGGCCUUGAUGGACAAAGGUGGUUCCAAGAGCACUCAUAAACAGCAUGCUUGUACUUUCAGAGGAAGUGCAACCCCAUCAAGGACACUCAAGCCCCCAAAUUAUGAGACCUGGAAACCACAGUAUCUCUGUCUAAGGAAGAUUAGUAUUAUUAUUACUACUACUACUACUACUACUAAUAGUAGUAUUAUAUUUGUUACCUGAUCUUCACUGUAAGGUCCUGGAGUGGGUUAAGUGCCCUAACAAUAAGAGUUCAAAAGCCCACGGAAAAGAGACAUGUCUCCAAUGACUGUCUAAAGCUGUAAAGAGAGAAAACAGUAAGAAUGCCACAACAUGAGAGUAGCAUCAGGGCUGUGUGCUUAAUAUAUCCAUCUGUCAGCUACUGAAGGGGCAGUUGCUCCAAAGCUUACCUCUUCCUUUCCCAGCUUCAGCCCUGUAUACCUGAAGGAGUGUCUCCACCCCUAUUGCUCAGCCCAGACACGGAGGUCCAGCACCAAGGGCCUUCUGGCAGUUCCUUCACUGCAGAAGUGAAACUACAGGGAACCAGGCAGAAGGCCUCUCAAGGGCGAAGGGGUGUUCAUGAGGUGGGGUGUCAAUAUUUGCUUUUUCUCAGCUUCUCAUUUCUCCAGUCCUAAUUUCAGGUGAACCCAUCCAUUUGCUUCCCCCGCUAAAAAGUUUGCACAAAAAUUGAAUGUGUCUUCUCACACACUUUUUCUAAUAAGUGCAUUUUUGUACCCAAUUUUGCCUCAUGUAUGCAUUUUCAUCAGAUGCAUUUUUAGUAAUAUGUAAUAUGUGCAUUUUUGUGCAUAGAUUUGGGAAGUGUAAAAUGCAAACUCGACCAACUUCUCUCCCAUCCUUAUGAGUGAGUGGGAAGCUAAAUUGACACUAGAGCACUCAGUUGAUCCAAAGUAAGCUUGUGUCCAUAAAACUGGAUGGAUGGAGAAACUAACAGACAGUUACAUAGAUGGAUGGAUGAAUAGAUAGAUUAUACAUAGACACACAUAUAGUUACAUAUAUUUAGUGCAAUCAACUCCAUUGCUUUUCUGGGGCUGGGUGCAGAGCAGAGUUCACAGUCUUGCACGUCUCCUCUUUGCCUCUCUGUCUCUUCUACUCUGGAGAUUUACAUUAUGAGCUAAAUUUUGAGGCCCAUGAGGACGGCAUGCAGGGGGAGGGGAGGAGUUGCUUCUACCCAGAAGCCUGCCAUUCAGGCAGAUGGUGGAAUGAUUUGAUAUGAAUAGCCGCUGUCAGUCUCAUACAGCGAACUUUUCAAUUGUGCUUUGCGUUGGACGGCAUGUGACUAACGCCAUUCUUUUGCAGGCUGCAGGCAGGACACAGCUGUUUCUUUAAGAAAGAAACUGGUUUCACUAAUGGACAGAAAAUUUAUGGCUAAAUCAUUGGAGGAAAUGCACGGCGGCCAACACUGCGCUUACAUAAUGAGAGCCAACCAAAUCCCAUAAUCGUGGCUGUAACCAACUCUUUUUCUUCUUGAAAGCAUGGAGGGGUGUGUGUGUGUGUGUGUG